UGUGAAACCUUACAAAUUCCAGCUGCCA
rnacentral:piRNA from 1 species